CUUCCUUCCUUCCUUCCUUCCUUCCUUCCUUCCUUCCCCUUGAAGCUCAGCUCUGUCUUUAUGCCUUAAACAGCAAUUAAGAAUAAAAGGGGAGCUCGCUGCCUUCCCUGUCUCAGGCUUGUCUCUUCCGAGCCUGGCUGCUCUGAUUUCCAUCUCAUGCAUAUCUUAUUUAACAUUCUGGAUACUGUUUUGAGUGCCCUAAUAUUUUAAAAUAAAUUGCUGCUUGUAAAAGGCUUAAUGUCACAUUCUGUUAUUGUGACUGUUAAGAGAAAAGUGAAAUCUUCAAUGGGGCCAGUGGAGCAGAAGCGAUCAAACAGUGGGAGGUCCUAUUAAUGUGUGUUGCGUUUCAUUAUUCUGGCACAGUGUGUCAAGUCUCGCCUCAUCAGAGCGCACGCAACAGAUCAGAACCUCAACUCCGCGCAAGCAAACGCAGGCAGGGAGGGAGGGGGCGGAGGACGGGCCCCCCACUUCAGUCUGCUCCUUCGUCAAGUUGUCCGUGUCCUGAUCCCGACCACUUCCCUGAUAUUGUCCUUGCCAUGUCCUGAAGGGUAGAAGAGAUCCGUCAAAACCAUUGGGUGUCAAGCCUGUUCACCUGAGAACAUGGAAGGCGGAGAUGAAAGGGAAGGCGAGCAAAAGAGAAGAGUAGGCUCCAAAGGCCUGGGAAGAAACCAGAACUCAUCCUUGUGGGGUUGUUGUGCUGUAUGUCCAUGUUCCAGAAGCAUUCUCUCCUGACGUUUCGCUCACAUCUACGGCAGGCAUCCUCUGAGGUUGCGAGGAACGGGGAAGAAGGUUCCUCCACUUCAAUCUGCUUCUUCGUCAAGUUGCCCGCGUCCUGAUCCCGACCACUUCCCUGAUAUUGUCCUUUCCAUGUUCUGGAGGGUAGAAGAGAUCCGUCAAAACCAUUGGGUGUCAAGCCUACUCAACUGAGAACAUGGAAGGCGGAGAUGAAAGGGAAGGCGAGCAAAAGAGAAGAGUUGGCUCCGAAGGCCUGGGAAUAAACCAGAACUCAUCCUUGUGGUCCGCAUAGCAAGAAGGUGUUUUCACUCAAGGUUUUAUUUAUUUAUUUAUUCACCAUAUUUACCCUGUUUCCCUGAAAAUAAGACAUCCCCAAAAAAUAAGACCUAGCAGAGGUUUUGCUGAAUUGCUAAAUAUAAGACCUCCCCUGAAAGUAAGACCUAGCAAAGUUUUUGUUUGGAAGCAUGCCCAGCGCCUGCCAAACAAAGCACCAGAGCAUGCAAGAUUGGUAAAUGUACAUACCAGUUGUACAUGGAAAUAUUGGUAGUAACAAGACAUUCUUGACAAGAGUCACAGUUUGUCUGGUUUGGUUAUGUUGGUUUGUGAUGACAACUACUGUACAAGUAUAGAAUAAAUGUUCAUUUUUUUUGUUCAACAAUAAAUGUGAAUUCUUCUCCAUGGAAAAAUAAGACAUCCCCUGAAAAUAAGACCUAGCACAUCUAUGGGAGCAAAAAAUAAUAUAAGACACUGUCUUAUUUUCGGGAAAACAGGGUAUAUCUCGCCUUUCUCAGCCCCAAGGGGAACUCAAGGCGGAUUACACACGACACUUGCCUAGUGCCCUGGACAUAAAAGACAUAAACUUGAAGUAAAACUAAAUUAAGAUUAAAUACAGAGAGCAGCCCCCCCCCCCCCCAAGAUGAUCUUAGACUCCAAGGUGGUUCAAGUAAUUGCGCCCCACCUGCGAGAGGGCCUCCAAGUAGGCUUCUGAGGCAUCAUGUGGGACCGGGAAACAUAACUGAGAGGGAAUAGCUCAUUUAAAUGUAGACGUCUGAGAAUGCCUGCCACAGAUGUGGGCGAAACGUCAGGAGAGAAUGCUUCUGGAACAUGGCCAGGCAGACCGAAAAACUCACAGCGACCCAGUGACUCCGGCCAUGACAGCCCUCCUUCGACAAUCCCUGUCUGUAGCCAGCAUGCGUCUUUAGGUUCUCUUCUCGGCUGGAGAUCUGCAGGGGACGGGAAGGAGCCCAGGCUGCCAGAGCUGGCUUCUGAAAUCUUGGCUCGCAAGCGCAGGAUAUUGCCAGCCGCACAUGGCACCCUCACUGGGCCUCCAGCGUGGAUCCAAGCCCGGAGUUCCGGGCCAACUUUUUGUCAUUCUUCUGGCUGCUGCUGGGAAUUCUCCCACACAGACCCUUCCUGUCUCUUUCGUUCCAGAUUAAUACAUCGCUCCGGUUUGUUGUGUUCUUAUUCCUGCUCCAAUCCAUUAGGCAUUAUUUAUUCCUUGCUUCCCUCCUUCCUGUGCCGUCCCACGUGCUGCAGCUGUUUCUCCUCCUGCCGCAAAACAGGUUUCCCUUCACCAUUUCAUAACCACCACCCAAGCCCCUUGAAUCUGGCACGUGAGGAGUGAGAAUCCCACUAACGGAGAAGUAAAAACAGAACUUCGGAAAAAUAUAUUUGUUGGGCCUUCCCUUCAGGUGUUUUGGACUUCAAGUUUGUUUUGGUGGGCCAACUUAGGAAAAAAUAUAUUUUUUGGGCCUUCCCUACAGGAGUUUUGGACUCCAACUUCCACCAUUCCUAGCAGCCUAUCCAUAAAAAUCAUAUAAAAGUUAUCGAAUGCUUUCUCUGCAUCCAAAAACAUCAUCGCCCCUUGCUGCUCUUCAUGCCCCUAUAGAUAUCCUAUAGCAUUCUGUACCAUAUAUUCCAGGCCUAGGCCAACUUGGGCCCUCCCUCCAGGUGUUUUGGACUCCAACUCCUACCAUUCCUAACAACCUAUCCAUAAAAACCCUAUAAAAGUUAUCAAAUGCCUUCUCUGCAUCCAAGAACAUCAUCGCCCCUUGCUGCUCUUCAUGCCCCUAUAGAUAUCCUAUAGCAUUCUGUACCAUAUAUUCCAGGCCUAGGCCAACUUGGGCCCUCCCUCCAGGUGUUUUGGACUCCAACUCCUACCAUUCCUAACAACCUAUCCAUAAAAACCCUAUAAAAGUUAUCAAAUGCCUUCUCUGCAUCCAAGAACAUCAUCGCUCCUUGCUGCUCUUCAUGCCCCUAUAGAUAUCCUAUAGCAUUCUAUGCCAUAUAGUCCAGGCCUGGGCCAACUUCAGCUUGAUUAGCAUUGAAUGGUCUUGCAGCUUAGGGGCCUGUCUGCUUCCUGCCUGGGGGAAUCCUUUGUUGGGAGGUGUUAGCUGGCCCUGAUUGUUUCAUGCCUGGAAUUCCCCUGUUUUCUGAGUGAUGUUCUUUGUUUACUGUCCUGAUUUUAGAGUUUUCUAAUACUUUUAGCCAGAUUGUGUUCGUUUUCAUGGUUCCUCCUUUCAGUUGGCAUUGUCCACAUGUUUGUGGAAUUCAGUGGCUUCCCUGUGUAGCCUGACAUGGACCAGCAUUUCCGUGUUCUCGAAUGAUAUCCUGUGUCCCGGUGGGUUCCCCAAGGGCUCUGCUCUGGCCGACUUCUCUGGCUGAGCUCGUCUGCAGCUCCCUUCAUGUUCCCUGAUCCGUGUCUGGGCAAUGCUGCUGCGUGCGGUGGUUCCUCUGUAGACCUCUCCACAGUUGCAUGGUAUAUGUUCUAUCAAAUGUUCUGAGCACAUUUCAGAAAGAAAAGGAAGUCAAGUGUGAAGCUGAAAUGCCUGGCUGUUCAUGAGGGCCAAUCAGUGCAGCCUUCCUCCGCCUUAUUCCCUCCCUCAUCUUACAGGUGGAAUCACACAGAGUUUGAAAGGACCACUGUCUGCCAGCUAUACACAGCUAAAGCCCUCCUGAAAGAUGCCCUAAGAUGGUCCACUGGCCUCCAAGGCAAUCCAUUCGUACCUGUUGCUGUGUGAUGUUUGCUAUGAAACAAGGCUGAGGGAGAAGCAUGUGUGUGUCAUACAUGCAUGCAACCAUACUGUUACGCUAUCAUUUCCAUCUCCAUUUACAAUGCCGGUGAGGGCCACUCAUUCCCAGUUAGCUUAUUGGAUUUUAAUGACACCCCAAAUCAUUCAGUUGAUGGAAGUUUUAAGAAAAGUAAAGGCGGCUCCCACGUUUUGACCUGGACGUGCUGCAAGGAAUCAUUGUCUGACGGUUUCCCAUCUUUGUUGUCUUGUUGGUUUGUGAAGGAGGGACGAGGCGUCCUGCAGAUCCCCCCCUUUUUUUUCCCUGCAGCUCCGCCCUUUGUUUUGGAAGAUCUCCAUUUCAAUCUCAGCGUUGAAUGGAGGCGAGCCCUUCCAAGUGACCCCUGACAUUAACCUAAUUGCAACCUCUCUUUGAUUAAAAGCCCCACAAAGCGAGCAGAGGGAUCAAAUUAAAUCUGAGUGGCGCUAGAACAUCUUUAGUACAUUGAUUAGGCUUCAAAAUACCACAUUUGAAUAUCUUAGCCUUUAUAGGGAUUAGGAGAGGAAAUUACACUGGCUGAAGGGGAGAGCGAGGGGCCGUUGUUCCUCAGGCAGACCCCGGCCGGGAUUCAAGGGACGGGGUCUCCCGCCCGUCUGUCAAGAGGGGCACCUGGCGGGACAGGUGGGUGGGAUCGGGCCCUUUGGUGCCUCUUGGGACGUCCGGCACCGGGAUGGAUCUAUCCUUGAUGGCUGCAUCCACCAAUCAAUCAAGACUCUCACGUCUAACACCCCUGGAGAGUAAAAAUAAAAAUAUUCAGAAACUCCUCCCUUCUGGAAAAUAGCUACAAAAUGUUUUAUCAAUCCUACAUGACACCUGUCAAAAUAGCCGAAAUGCAGCCACAAUUGAUAAACACGUGUUGGAAAUGCAAACAAGCAGCGGGAUCGUGUUUCCAUAUGUGGUGGUCCUGCAAGAAGGCAAAAAACGUUGGGAUCGGGAUUCAGAAAACUAUUGAAAAAGUACUAAAGCUUAAAAUAUCCACGAACCCAGAGGCAUUCCUACUAGAAUAACAAGCAGAUCACCAUUGAAGACACAAGGCUAACAUCAUCCUGCAUGAGAAUGCCAAUGAGCUGGAAACAGAAGUUUUCUCAAGAGGGAACCCGGCUUUUGGGGAGGAAAAGGAAACAGAAACAGGUUUUUAAAAAAUCAUAGUAGAGUGACUUUUUUCACGCCUGAAAUGGUUCAUUGCUUACAUUCACAGAAAGCAUUACAUGUUAAUCAGGCCAAGACGUGAUGAUUUCCGAGAAAGAGGAAUAUUAAAGUUUCUUGCAAAGGGAAAUGAGAAGCAGAAAAUAUGUUGGGACAUCACAAUAUUUACAGAUAGGCCAGCAGCACAUAAUUGAUGAUAUGCUGAUUAUAGAAGAAGAUAGAUGGGAGGCAAUUAUCAUUUGGGACGUUUUAGCAGCAACUUGGAAAACAGAUCAGCUGCAAAAGAGAAAAAGGAAUGGCCUUGGAACGCUGCCCGUUUUCCCACCAAUUCUGCAGUUGUCCCACCUUGUAUUUCUGGAUGCUUUGUGGGUGUUAUCCAUCCAUGUUACAUUCCAAACCUUUCCUACUAAUACCACUCACAAUUGCAUUACUUAAUUAUAUUUGUAGAUAAACAAAUAUGUGUUUAAAAACUAAAUUGAACAUGAAAGAUUUUUUAUUUUACUGGGUUGCUGUGAGUUUCCUGGGCUGUCUGGUCAUGUUCCAGAAGCAUUCUCUCCUGACGUUUCACCCGCAUCUAUCGCAGGCAUCCUCAGAGGUUGUGAGGUCUGUUGGAAACUAGGCAAGUCGGGUUUAGAAUAUAUAUAUAUAUAUAUAUAUAUAUAUAUAUAUAUAUAUCCCCCCCCCCCCCCCCGUAGAAUGAUGUCCAGGGUGGGAGAAGGGACUCCUGUCUGUUGGAGGCAAGUGGGAAUGUCUUGUCCUUUGCUGAGCUGCAUUUUAUGUUACAUAGUGUGGAAUUUUAUGUUUUACUAGCUGUGCCCAGCCAUGUGUUGCUGUGGCGAAGUAUGGUGGUAUGGGAAAUAAAGUAUUGAGGAACUGGUGGUAGUUAUUAUAUGUUAUUUCCUAAAGCUUGUGAAUAUACAAUAUUUUGGUUGUUCCUUUUGGCAUUCUGGUUAUUUGGAAGUGCUUUGAGUCUACACUGCCAUAUAACCCAGUUCAUACCAGAUAAUCUCUUUUUUAUAGGCAGUGUGGAAGAAGUCUAAGUGAACCCUGCCUGUCCCCCAGGCGCCAUUGUGGCUGAGGGGGUGGCUAUGACACAAAGGGGGCGGGGCCUAAAGGGGCGGGGCCUACCCUUCUGACUGGUAGCCAGGGGAAGAACGUCUCUUCCUCGUCCUCUGUAAUUUGGACUUUAUUUUUCUAGGUUUUUAAAAUUGAAAGACAUAGAUUGGAUUACUAUGUCUUUUGUGGCCAAAUUUGGUGUGAUUUGGUUCAGUGGUUUUGUUGUUUACUCCAUGGGAGAAAUGCACAUUACAUUUAUAUAUAUAUAUACUAGCUGUGCCCGGCCACGCGUUGCUGUGGCAAAGUAUGGUGGUAUGGGAAAUAGUAUUGAGGAUUUUGUGGUAGUUAAGGUAAAGGGUAAAGGUUUUACCUUACAUUAAGUCCAUUAUAAAUGGGUUAUAUAGCUGUGUGGAAGGGCCUUGAGUCUACACUGUCAUAUAAUCCAGUUCAAAUCAGAUAAUCUGUAUUUUAUAGGCAGUGUGGAAGAGGCCUAAGUGAGGCCUAACUCUGCCUGUCCCCUGGGCUGAGUGGGUUGCUAGGAGACCAAGUGGGCGGGGCUUAGCCUUCUAACUGGCAGCAAUUGGAUAAAAACAACUAUUCCUCUCCCUCUAAUUAGGACUUAAUUUUUCUUUUUCUUUUUUUGUUGUAUGAACGUAGAGGCAUGGAUGAGAGGUUGUGCUGCCAAGUUUAGUGUUUCUGGGAUGUGUAGUUUUGUUGUUUUGUCCUAGGCCGAAAUUUCAUUACCCUAUAUAUAUAUAUAUAUAUAUAUAUAUAUAUAUAUAUAUGUGUGUGUGUGUGUGUGUGUGUGUGUGUGUGUGUGUGUGUGUGUGUGUAAAUGUAGCAUUUUAUGUUACAUAGUGCUCCUAGUGUGCGGAAUCCUCAUAUUCCAUGACUGUAGAGUGAACGUGUGUGCGGAUCGAUGAAACACUCCUUUAAAAACAAUCCGAAUCUGCUUGAAAGCACCCUUGCUGGAAAAAAAAAAUCCGAAUCUGUUUGAAGGCAUUUAAACAGAUUCAAAGAAUUUUUCAGAUGGUGUAUUAAUAGAACAUUUUGAGGGCAGAAUGCGGAUGUGCUCAUGCAUAUUGGUUUUUCUCUGCACUGUAGAUACACACAUGCAUUUUAUUAACACAGAAAAAGAGGAGAAGAUGCAAAAUAAGUGAGUUACGGGAAAGGUGGUGUGACGUGCACGAUGCAAACCUCACUUUGGGGAUUAAUAUUUGAAACUCACGUCGCUAAACUGGAAUUCAGAGGGUGACAGACAGACAAAGCGAGGAAGAGAAGAAAGGAAGAUUUCGUGUUUACAAGGAGAAUGCAUUUCGAUCAGGCAUGGUAAACUUGGGCCUUCCGUCCAGGUGUUUUGGAUUUCAACUCCCACCAUCCCUGGGAAAGGAAAGCGGCUGAGGGGGAAAAGGAAGGGGCCUGAGGCCAGGAAUGGUGGGAGUUGGAGUACAAAACACCUGGACAGAAGGCCCAAAUUUGCCCAGGUGUCAAAGGGAUGAUUUCAUGAGUUCUUGAUCGGGUCCGAGGGGGAAAAGGAAAGGGCCUGAGGCCAGGGAUGGUGGGAGUUGGAGUCCAAAACACCUGGAGGGAAUGCCCAAAUUUGCCCAGGUGUCAAAGGGAUGAUUUCAUGAGUUCUUGGUCGGGUCCGAGGGGGGAAAGGAAAGGGCCUGAGGCCAGGGAUGGUGGGAGUUGGAGUCCAAAACACCUGGAGGGAAUGCCCAAAUUUGCCCAGGUGUCAAAGGGAUGAUUUCAUGAGUUCUUGGUCGGGUCCGAGGGGGGAAAGGAAAGGGCCUGAGGCCAGGGAUGGUGGGAGUUGGAGUCCAAAACACCUGGAGGGAAUGCCCAAAUUUGCCCAGGUGUCAAAGGGAUGAUUUCAUGAGUUCUUGAUCGGGUCCGAGGGGGGAAAGGAAAGGGCCUGAGGCCAGGGAUGGUGGGAGUUGGAGUCCAAAACACCUGGAGGGAAUGCCCAAAUUUGCCCAGGUGUCAAAGGGAUGAUUUCAUGAGUUCUUGGUCGGGUCCGAGGGGGGAAAGGAAAGGGCCUGAAGCCAGGAAUGGUGGGAGUUGGAGUCCAAAACACCUGGACAGAAGGCCCAAAUUUGCCCAGGUGUCAAAGGGAUGAUUUCAUGAGUUCUUGGUCGGGUGCGAGGGGAGAAAGGAAAGGGCCUGAGGCCAGGAAUGGUGGGAGUUGGAGUCCAAAACACCUGGAAGGAAUGCCCAAAUUUGCCCAGGUGUCAAAGGGAUGAUUUCAUGAGUUCUUGGUCGGGUGUGAGGGGAGAAAGGAAAGGGCCUGAGGCCAGGAAUGGUGGGAGUUGGAGUCCAAAACACCUGGAGGGAAUGCCCAAGUUUUCCCAUGCCUGAUUUAGAGACUGUUUUCCCAAAGAGCUCAACAUCAAACAUCAAAAUAUAUCUCCCAGAAAGACCCAAAUAGGGAUGAAAAGAUCUUUAAAAAAAAACCCCAUGAACGAUUCCGACAACAUACAACUCGCUCACGUGGUUUUGCAAGCAAAAUUUUAGUUUCUCUUCUUCCUCUUGGCAUGAUUUGAGCACUGGUUGCUUAGGAACCCAGGGACUAUGUGGCGCGCAAGUCGCUUCAAAACCUCGCCGUUGCUCUUCACCUGCGAAGAUCACCGAAAGUAACUUCUUCCUUUCCUAAGAAGGUAACCUUUUAGUGAGGACCAAUCCGUCUGAUGUCUCGUAUUCUGGUCUUGGAGUAAAAAAGUUAGUGAGUUUUCUUCCAAGCCAGAAGAAACAUUUGGACACUGCUGACUCUCACCACAUGAGAACUAGGCAAGGAAUGCUUUGCAUAUUUGCUGAGGCUCAGGAGGUAGGGCUUGGUGAUGUCAAUAAACAAAUAAGCAUUUUGAAUUAACCCCCAAUGACAUUGUAGUGAUUACAGCUAGAACCGAGGAUAGAGAGGUCCAUGCCCGGAGAGCCUUCGCUAAACCAGAUCAGCCAGGACAGGGUGUAGGCACUCCGGGUUGAAGGCAACGCUACCGAGGUUUAUUACGAUUCGGCCAGAAAGGAUGCAAGUACAAGCAAUACGCUUCAAAAGAUUCAAGUACAAAUUCAUGAAAGCAUGCUUGACAUUUUAUACAGUUCUGAUAGCUAUUCAGACUUCCCACUCCUUUCCCUGAUUGGCUGAAAAGAGACACAGGCUAGGAUUCGCACCAGGAUUGGCUGGGGGUUUCCCUGACAUCACGGCCUUCAGCAGGAGAUUCCCGAGGAGGGAAGGAAGACGGCUCGUGGUUAGACCCAUCAGCCGCAGGGCACGAACCUGGAGGGAACGGCGACGUGGAUUUGCUGAUGAGCCCUGAUUAACCCAAGUGCCCCGUUCCAUAUGAAGCAAAGGGUGUGAGACCCAAAAGGCAAGGUGGCCAUGCUAGACAAUCACGGGCUUGGCUGCCCACUCGGAGAAUGAACAAAUUCAUGUUUGCUGGGCCUUCUCUUCCACGGGAACGACAGACUCUCAGCCUCAAGUUGAAUGAACAAGCAUCCUGAGCUCAUUGUGGUGACAAAAAGCAUCAGCUGUCUGCUCAAUCCCAGCCAUCCUAUCUGUUGGGAAUCACCCUGGACUACUCAAGUCUAAAUGUAGUCAGAUAGAUGAUAGAGUUAGAUUGAGGGAAUCCUGUCCCUGUUUCCAAAGCAUGCCUAGACAGGCUUUACUGUGUUUCCCCUCUUUCUAUCCUGUUUUCGUCACAUCCCUUACUUUGAAGUUAGUAGAAAUGUGAAUCUUUAGGGACACUAACUUCCCAUUGGUCAGAAUGUCUUUUAUGGCCCCAAUAAACUGGACCAUGAGAUUGGAACCAUUUUGGUUCUCUCUUCUCCCUUUGUUCUUCAAACUAACAACAGCAUCUUGCUGUCCCUCCAGGCAAGAUGUAACUAUUUAGAUGUUUGUUAUUUUUCCUUUCUUAUUUUUCCUUAGAAACUAGUCUAGAGUAGACUAGACAGCUCCCAAGCCUUUCUAUCUACAAUGGAGUUCUUUUUACCUGAAUAAAUGCUUUUUGAACUUUUA